rnacentral:misc_RNA from 1 species
GAUGAAGACGUAGCGAAAUGCGAUAAGUAAUGUGAAUUGCAGAAUUCAGUGAAUCAUCGAAUCUUUGAACGCACAUUGCGCCCGCUGGUAUUCCGGCGGGCAUGCCUGUUCGAGCGUCAUUUCAACCCUCAAGCUCUCCGGAGUUUGGUGUUGGGGCGCCUGGGGCUUUUCGACCUCAGGGCCCUCAAGUCCAUCGGCGGGACCGCCAGGACACUGAGCGCAGUAGUAUUAUUUCGCUCGGUAGGAUCUUCCACGGCGGGUCGAUCUGGCCGCUAAACCCCCCAAUUCUCACCAAAGGUUGACCUCGGAUCAGGUAGGAAUACCCGCUGAACUUAAGCAUAUCAAUAAGCGGAGGA